rnacentral:lncRNA from 1 species
GGUUCAGGAUAGUCUGUAGGCAGUCGAUUUCAUCAAGGAUUUCUUUUGGACUUACUUCCUUGAAAAUCGUAGGUCUACCUUCUUGCACACUUUUGGUUAUCUCGGGGCCCAUAUGCCACUGUAGGAUAAUUUUGAAUACUUGGUUUACUGUAUCACUAUGUGUAUGAAUUUAUUCUGUUCUCACGCUACAAAAAUUAUUUAUGCAUAGUUCUAUAAAAAUUGUUUUAUAAGAAAAUGGAAUAUAUUAUCGAAUAUUUUUAUUUAGUCUAAUUAGCCAACUUUUCGCUCCAAAUGGAUGAUUUAGAUUACAAAAAUUUAUUUUUAAUUGGAAAUGGAUAUCUUUCUACCAUACGUUGUAUUUUUAUCAGGUUUCGAAAUUUUCAGGUAAAAAUGACCAAAAUAUCCAUGUGUGGUCAAAAAUUUGUUUUGAUUGUUUUCGAUCUAAAAUAGUUUAUAUUCUCUUAAAACUCGAUAUUUAGUAACUAUUACUCACAAGGGAAGUGGAUAACUGAUGCAAGAGCCUUGCGAGGUUUCGGUUGACAUACCAGGUAAUGAAUAUUUACCAAGACUUCACGACGGUUGUCACAGGUUCGAAAGGAGUGCCAGGUCAUGACAGAUUGAUUCCACUCUCAUGGGGUGCAAGUGAUGACUUCACUCCUAUGACAUAGCAUAAACGUCCAAGGUGCAAUGGGACUGUACAUUGCCAGCCCAAGGCUGAUAGGGGAUAUACCAUCUCAAAGUACGAGUUUAAUGUUAAUGGAAUGAUCAUAAUCAUUAUGUUUGUAGCAUGUUUCAUACUUAUGUUGUUUCAGCAAUGUUCAUGAUUUGUACUCUAUGUUGACAUGAAAAUGUGCUUAGUGAAGAAGACUAAGCCUUAGAGAAAGUCCCAAGAGGUAUGGAAACUUAAGGAAUGGAAAAAAUGGAGGAUUUUGUCUAGAAAUUUGGGUUAUGGGUUGAAAAUAUCAAUACAUAUGGGUUAAUAUCGAUACGUUCUAAACAGAAUGCUUUA